AUUGAACGCUGGCGGCAUGCCUUACACAUGCAGGUCGAACGGCAGCGGACCUUCGGGUGCCGGCGAGUGGCGAACGGGUGAGUAAUAUAUCGGAACGUACCUUUCAGUGGGGGAUAACGUAGCGAAAGUUACGCUAAUACCGCAUAUUCUGUGAGCAGGAAAGCAGGGGAUCGCAAGACCUUGCGCUGAUUGAGCGGCCGAUAUCAGAUUAGCUAGUUGGUGAGGUAAAGGCUCACCAAGGCGACGAUCUGUAGCGGGUCUGAGAGGAUGAUCCGCCACACUGGAACUGAGACACGGUCCAGACUCCUACGGGAGGCAGCAGUGGGGAAUUUUGGACAAUGGGCGCAAGCCUGAUCCAGCCAUGCCGCGUGAGUGAAGAAGGCCUCGGUUGU
rnacentral:rRNA from 1 species